rnacentral:lncRNA from 1 species
AAACUAAGGGACAAAGGGAGGGGGGGGAUGACCUCUCUGAUCCCUACAGCCUCCAAUUCUGUGACGCAACUUCCAUCACUGCAGGGAGUGGGGUUCUGCCAACAUACCUCCAUCUUGAUCCCUCAGAAAAAAAACUGCCACAAGGAGACAUUUAUUUGCAAGGUGUCAUGGAAGAUUGGCUUUCAUCAGUGUUUUACAGGCAUUCAAAGUGCUACUAAAGAGGAUUGUUUAAGAUUCUCGAGCUUGGCCGAACCCAGAGGUGCAUCCUGUUCACAGAGGAAUGAAUUUCAUCUUAUCUAUAUGGUACGGUGUUCCUCAGAGCCUGAUUCUUGAUGACAAUAAAAUGUUAUCGAAUGAACAUAUAUAUGGCAGGAAAUGUUUCUAUUGGCAAAAUUCACCACAAGAAAAACAUGUACAAAAGAGACGUACACUUGGGGAGCAACCAAAAAUGACAUCACAAUGAACAUUAUUUAUGUCGAUACAGACGUCUCCUUUGGUUUCAAAGGAUUUUGAAAUGGAUCUUUCAUUCAUCAUUUACUCAGUCCAUAUCUAAAGCAGUGCGGCUUAUUUCAAAGAAGAAAGGACUGAGAGUCAGGAGACCUGAGUUCUAAUCCCAGGUCCACAACUUGCCAGUAAUGUGACCUCAGUUAAUAAAGUUUUCUCUGGGCUUCAAUUUCUCCAUCUACAAAAUGGGAUUAUUAUUAUUAAUGACAGUAAUAAUAAUAGUUCUAAUUGUAAGUGCUUACUACACAUCAACUGUGUAUACACAUUGCCU